CCAUAUCCAGAAAUCAACGCCACUUUGCUCAUUUGAAUAUUAUACUAAUAAAAUCGGAUACGGGUCACGGAAAUUAUAUUGAAAUGAUAGGGAUUUUUGAAAAAAUGUCUAUUUUAACUUUAAUUUAAGUGAUAGACAGGUUGCCGUGACAGAAAAUAAAUAUACACAACAAUAUACACCAUUUAAACGAAACAUAAUGACUGUCGUUGCAAAAAUCAAGGUUCCUGAGCUAUUUUGAAAAUCGAAGCGAGAGGCUUUUAACAUUGCAGUAUAAAAUACAGGCUAAAAUGGCUGAAACGUCAAAUUUGCAAACUUCGUGUUGAAAAUUGGCUAACAAGGUCAUUAGAAAAACAAGUUGCCGGGGUGAAACUUCAAACUUGGAUGUCCAAAGAAUAAGCAAGUCCAAACCUUGUAUGUGUAGUCGUUGAAAUCUAGGUUCCCACGUAAAGUUAAAAUACCAAUAUUUUAAGAAGAAUAAACUCACGAGAACACGAAAAAUUCACUUAAUUCGCGUUCAUUGUUUUGAUUUUGACCGCCUAGCAACUUUACGGAAAUAUCAGAAUGAUUAUAAACAAGGACUCUGUGACGGGCAACUUAUAAUAUCCG
rnacentral:lncRNA from 1 species